rnacentral:rRNA from 1 species
AUACGGAGGGUGCAAGCGUUGUUCGGAAUUAUUGGGCGUAAAGCGCGUGUAGGCGGUCUGUUAAGUCUGGUGUGAAAGCCCUGGACUCAACCCAGGAAGUGCAUUGGAUACUGGCAGACUUGAGUAUGGGAGAGGAAAGCGGAAUUCCGAGUGUAGGAGUGAAAUCCGUAGAUAUUCGGAGGAACACCAGUGGCGAAGGCGGCUUUCUGGACCAAUACUGACGCUGAGAUGCGAAAGCGUGGGGAGCAAACAGGAUUAGAAACCCGAGUAGUCC